GAUGAACGCUGGCGUCGUGCCUAAUACAUGCAAGUCGAGCGAACGGACGAGAAGCUUGCUUCUCUGAUGUUAGCGGCGGACGGGUGAGUAACACGUGGAUAACCUACCUAUAAGACUGGGAUAACUUCGGGAAACCGGAGCUAAUACCGGAUAAUAUUUUGAACCGCAUGGUUCAACAGUGAAAGACGGUCUUGCUGUCACUUAUAGAUGGAUCCGCGCUGCAUUAGCUAGUUGGUAAGGUAACGGCUUACCAAGACAACGAUGCAUAGCCGACCUGAGAGGGUGAUCGGCCACACUGGAACUGAGACACGGUCCAGGCUCCGACGGGAGGCAGCAGUAGGGAAUCUUCAGCAAUGGGCGAAAGCAUGACGGAGCAACGCCGCGUGAGUGAUGAAGGUCUUCGGAUCGUAAAACGCUGUUAUUAGGGAAGAACAUAUGUGUAAGUAACUGUGCACAUCUUGACGGUACCUAAUCAGAAAGCCACGGCUAACUACGUG
rnacentral:rRNA from 1 species